CCGGGGCCGGGGCCGGGGUCUUGGGAGGAAGGGGAGCGCCCAGACUCGGCGCUGAUCGGCGCCGCGGCUCCGCGCCUCGCGCUCUCCUUAUCGUACAGUGUGAGGAGCAGUCGUCGCUGCCUCGCUGCGUUGUGGCGGGAGUUUAAACCGGCCUUCGGAGGUUCACAUAUAUGGAGUCAGAAGUGGGAUCUGAAGGAGGCGACUGCCAAGAUAAAAUGACCCCCAGAAUCUAGCAAGUUACCUGCACUGAGCUCCUUGUGCUCAUCGCUUCUGUGAGUGGCCACCCACUUUUGGUUUGGCGAGUCUCCUCACAGAUUUUGACCCCCGCUUCCUUUGCAUUCUGAGCUCUCUGACUUACUCAGGACCAAGAGAGGCUUUGUUCUCUCAGGGGAUGGACUUUGUCCUCCCAGUUCAAGGCUCUGUCCUUGGGUUCAAGGUGUCAUCCCUGACUCCACCUCUGGUGCCGUCUUCUUCCUUCCCUUCUGCAUCACCUCUAUUGCUGAAACUUUGGCCACCUGAGCAAGUAAACAACUUAGUCCAUCCACCAGAGACACAAUUUGGAUCCAACUAUUCACUUGAAUUUUGUACCUGAGAAAUGGCUGAAGUUUUUGAAACAAAAGCUGUAAGGUCUCUGUGUCUGUCUAUAUGUUAUGUCUGUCUAUUUUCAUACGUGACAUUUUUCUACCUCCAGAUUGUAUUGCUAAGAUUGAUUUGUAAAAGAGCUCUAUUUAAUUAGCUUGCAAUUAAGCACUUAUAAAUUAAGUAUUCCUAAACCUCAGAAAUAUAAUGGAAAUUAACCCAAUUGUUUUCAAGUUUACAUGCUCUAGGAUUAAUCUUUAGUAAAUAACAUUUAGCUUAAGAUUGUUGUUUUAAUUGAAACAGUCAUGUCUUUAGAGUUAUCAAUGCUGAAUAUAAUGCAGACAUACAACUUUCAAUCUGCCUGAGUUUACUAAGCUCACGUUAUCUCUGUUAGAAAAUUUGUCAGCAAGAAAGUGACUUAACAUGAUGGUUGGUUGUUUAAUGUCAAAUCCAAGCAUGAUUGUUAAAAGCAAGUAACAUAAAUAAAUAUAAAUAAGAUCAAAGCUUAUACUAGGUUAAACUAAAUAAUUGAUCAUUGAAUAGCUAGAUAACUUUUAAAUAAGAUGAACAUUAAUUACUGAACACAGGCUUAUCUACUUUUGGCUUCCUAUUCCAGAGAAACUAAAGAUAUUUGAAUUUAUUGGUGAACAUGUUUUAUGCAACACUGAGAAAUUUUCUAUAAGAAAAGGCACAUUUCUAGAAAUAUAUAAAAGAUAGUUAUAAGUUCUCCAAGCCACAAAAUGCUAAUAUAGUUCACAAUUGCUUACUUAGUUUUUCCCCAGAAAUUAAGGAUUCUAAGAGUUAGGAAUUCUAAUCAGGGCUUGUCCCAGUGGCCUAGUGGUCAAAUUUGGCACACUCUGCUUCAGUGACCCAGGUUCAGUUCCCAGGCAUGGACCUAUACCACCUGUCUA